UGGGAAACUGCCUGAUGGAGGGGGAGUAACUACUGGAACGGUAGCUAAUACCGCAUAACGUCGCAAGACCAAAGAGGGGGACCUUCGGGCCUCUUGCCAUCAGAUGUGCCCAGAUGGGAUUAGCUAGUAGGUGGGGUAACGGCUCACCUAGGCGACGAUCCCUAGCUGGUCUGAGAGGAUGACCAGCCACACUGGAACUGAGACACGGUCCAGACUCCUACGGGAGGCAGCAUG
rnacentral:rRNA from 1 species